AAGUCUGCUCGGGAGCAGUCGGAAAAGGUCAAGCUUCUGGAGGCCCGGGUGGAGAUUUUGGAGCAGGACAAUUCUUCUCUGAAGGAUAAGGCCUCCAAGUUGCAGGAGAAGGUCAAGGCUGCUGCCAAGGAGUAGAAAGAUGUUGUGGAGAAGCUGUCCAAGUUCAAGGCUGAUGCUGAUAAGCAAAUGAUCAGUGAUAUGAACCAGAUCAGAGACUUGGCGGCUGAUCGUGAUCAGAAAGCUCAGCAACUUGCUGAUCUUGAGGCGGCGGCUCAAGUAGUCGUCGGGAUGGUCGAGGAUGAAGAAGCUGGCGAGAGGAGUUUGCUGGAGCGUCUUCGUGAAACCUCCAGUGACUCAGCAGCUUCUUCUCCGAUACUUCUAGGGAUCACUUGGCUCAUGCCUUAGGAUUAGUUAAGUCCUUUCUUCCUUCCGUGAACUUGUCCUUUAUUGGCGAUGGGGUUACCAUUGGCUAUUCGGAGGAGCAAUUCUCUGAAUAUGUCACGGAGAUGAAGCCUGUUGCUGAUAAGGUUAUCAGCAGCUUGGAGCCUGCGCCAGAGGCUUGAACAGUUGUUGUAAUAUCCUCUUGGUUUUUGUUUGGAUGUGAAUCCUCUUGAGUACUUUUAACAUUCUGAUGUAUAGUACUUUUUCCUUUUAUUUGACGGUCGGUUGGUUGGUUGCCUUUUUUAUGAAGCUUGUCAUCGGCUAUUCUUGAAUCA